rnacentral:rRNA from 1 species
UGGAUCAUCUACCUCUUUGUGGGGAAUAACUCUGGGAAACCGGAGCUAAUACCGCAUAAGUCCGAGAGGAGAAAGCAGCAAUGCGCAGAGAGAGGAGUCCGCGGCCGAUUAGUUAGUUGGCAGGGUAAAAGCCUACCAAGACAAAGAUCGGUAGCCGGCCUGAGAGGGCACACGGCCACACUGGCACUGAAACACGGGCCAGACUCCUACGGGAGGCAG